UUAUGGAUGUACGCCUGUCUAAGUCGAAUCUUCCGAACGAAGGUGUCGUGAAUGUUAUUACCAAGUUUAGAAACUUCACCAUUUGCAACAAAGGUCUUUUGCACAAAAUAAAGACGAUUAUUGUAAACAACUUGGUUAUCCUACCGCAGCAUCUGGGGGAGGCUCAAUGUCACUAUCAUCUUUGAUGCAUCAAUCGUUUAUACCUGGAAUUGUCAAAUGUGAUGCUCGAGUGAACGAUUUAUCUCAAUGUGCUAUCACUCAAAAUAAUGAUUGCUCUCAAUACUCGUACGUUACAUGUCAUGUUUGUGAUAAUCCUCUAUUGAAAAACGCAGAAAAAUUCCCAGAUUCUUGGUUUACUGCCUUCCCAAAGAGUCGUAGUGCUGCUAAAGCAAGAAUAUCCAGUGGUAGUUCAUGGUGUGCUCCUGCUGCUAAUGGCAGUCAUUAUCUUCAACUGAAUUUUCCGAGUCUUUAUACAGUUAACGUUAUCACUAUCUUUGGAGACAGUUCAAGUUCAAGCUUUGUAACUAAAUAUCACUUGCAGACAAACAUUGAUGGUGUGAACUGGAAAUCUAAAAAAUCCAAGAAGAUUUAUCUAGGAAACAAAAUGGUUACAAUGAUGCGGCUAUAGAAAAGUUUUCUGGUGGCCUUAAAUCCAAAGCUUUGCGAAUCUUUCCAUUGAAAUUUGUUGGUGCACCGUGUUUACGAAUUGAAAUUUGUGGUGGAGACUUACUCCCAGACAAACCAACAGAUCUCAUUGCAACCAAAUCUGCAUCGACGUACCUCGAGAUAUCAUGGAAACAUCCCAAAAAAACUGGUGUAAAACUUGGUACAAAUAUCUCGAAUCCUCUUACAAGAUAUCGAUUGAUUUUGCUGAAGGAUACUACGAUUGUUUUUAAUAAAACUCUGGAGGUAACUGACAAAAAACCGUACAACAUUACGAAUCUUGUUCCUUACGCAACGUAUAAAGUUAGUGUAACAGCUGGCAAUUCUGAAGGCUUUGGUAGAUCAACUACAGCUACUUUUAGAACUGCUGAAGAUGUUCCCGAAGGUCCACCUUUAAAUGUUCAAAUUGUCGCCUUAAGCAGUUCAUCGUUAUCAGUUACGUGGGAGCCACCAGACAAGAA